UGACGUCAAGUCAUCAUGGCCCUUAUGUCCAGGGCGACACACGUGCUACAAUGGCCGGCACAACGGGAAGCGAGUUCGCGAGGACGAGCGGAUCCCUUAAAGCCGGUCUCAGUUCGGAUUGAAGUCUGCAACUCGACUUCAUGAAGCUGGAAUCGCUAGUAAUCGCAGAUCAGCCAAGCUGCGGUGAAUACGUUCCCGGGCCUU
rnacentral:rRNA from 1 species